CGGCGGCCGCGCCGCUGCUGGUGGCGGUGGCCGCGCUGCUAUUGGGCGCCGCGGGCCACCUGUACCCCGGAGAGGUGUGUCCCGGCAUGGAUAUCCGGAACAACCUCACUAGGUUGCAUGAGCUGGAGAAUUGCUCUGUCAUCGAAGGACACUUGCAGAUACUCUUAAUGUUCAAAACGAGGCCCGAAGAUUUCCGAGACCUCAGUUUCCCCAAACUCAUAAUGAUCACUGAUUACUUGCUGCUCUUCCGGGUCUAUGGGCUCGAGAGCCUGAAGGACCUGUUCCCCAACCUCACGGUCAUCCGGGGAUCACGACUGUUCUUUAACUACGCGCUGGUCAUCUUCGAGAUGGUUCACCUCAAGGAACUCGGCCUCUACAACCUGAUGAACAUCACCCGGGGUUCUGUCCGCAUCGAGAAGAACAAUGAGCUCUGUUACUUGGCCACUAUCGACUGGUCCCGUAUCCUGGAUUCCGUGGAGGAUAAUUACAUCGUAUUGAACAAAGAUGACAAUGAGGAGUGUGGAGACAUCUGUCCGGGUACCGCAAAGGGCAAGACCAACUGCCCCGCCACUGUCAUCAAUGGGCAGUUUGUCGAACGCUGUUGGACUCAUAGUCACUGCCAGAAAGUUUGCCCGACCAUCUGUAAGUCACACGGCUGCACCGCCGAAGGCCUCUGUUGCCACAGCGAGUGCCUGGGCAACUGUUCUGAGCCCGACGACCCCACCAAGUGCGUGGCCUGCCGCAACUUCUACCUGGACGGCAGGUGUGUGGAGACCUGCCCGCCCCCGUACUACCACUUCCAGGACUGGCGCUGUGUGAACUUCAGCUUCUGCCAGGACCUGCACCACAAAUGCAAGAACUCGCGGAGGCAGGGCUGCCACCAGUACGUCAUUCACAACAACAAGUGCAUCCCUGAGUGUCCCUCCGGGUACACGAUGAAUUCCAGCAACUUGCUGUGCACCCCAUGCCUGGGUCCCUGUCCCAAGGUGUGCCACCUCCUAGAAGGCGAGAAGACCAUCGACUCGGUGACAUCUGCCCAGGAGCUCCGAGGAUGCACCGUCAUCAACGGGAGUCUGAUCAUCAACAUUCGAGGAGGCAACAAUCUGGCAGCUGAGCUAGAAGCCAACCUCGGCCUCAUUGAAGAAAUUUCAGGGUAUCUAAAAAUCCGCCGAUCCUACGCUCUGGUGUCACUUUCCUUCUUCCGGAAGUUACGUCUGAUUCGAGGAGAGACCUUGGAAAUCGGGAACUACUCCUUCUAUGCCUUGGACAACCAGAACCUAAGGCAGCUCUGGGAUUGGAGCAAACACAACCUCACCAUCACUCAGGGGAAACUCUUCUUCCACUAUAACCCCAAACUCUGCUUGUCAGAAAUCCACAAGAUGGAAGAAGUUUCAGGAACCAAGGGGCGCCAGGAGAGAAACGACAUUGCCCUGAAGACCAAUGGGGACCAGGCAUCCUGUGAAAAUGAGUUACUUAAAUUUUCUUACAUUCGGACAUCUUUUGACAAGAUCUUGCUGAGAUGGGAGCCGUACUGGCCCCCCGACUUCCGAGACCUCUUGGGGUUCAUGCUGUUCUACAAAGAGGCCCCUUAUCAGAAUGUGACGGAGUUCGACGGGCAGGAUGCGUGUGGUUCCAACAGCUGGACGGUGGUAGACAUUGACCCACCCCUGAGGUCCAACGACCCCAAAUCACAGAACCACCCAGGAUGGCUGAUGCGGGGUCUCAAGCCCUGGACCCAGUAUGCCAUCUUUGUGAAGACCCUGGUCACCUUUUCGGAUGAACGCCGGACCUAUGGGGCCAAGAGUGACAUCAUUUAUGUCCAGACAGAUGCCACCAACCCCUCUGUGCCCCUGGAUCCAAUCUCAGUGUCUAACUCAUCAUCCCAGAUUAUUUUGAAGUGGAAACCCCCCUCCGACCCCAAUGGCAACAUCACCCACUACCUGGUUUUCUGGGAGAGGCAGGCGGAAGACAGUGAGCUGUUCGAGCUGGAUUAUUGCCUCAAAGGGCUGAAGCUGCCCUCGAGGACCUGGUCUCCACCAUUCGAGUCUGAAGAUUCUCAGAAGCACAACCAGAGUGAGUAUGAGGAUUCGGCCGGCGAAUGCUGCUCCUGUCCAAAGACAGACUCUCAGAUCCUGAAGGAGCUGGAGGAGUCCUCGUUUAGGAAGACGUUUGAGGAUUACCUGCACAACGUGGUUUUUGUCCCCAGGUGAGGACGUGGCGCUGGGCUCUCUUAGUGGGUGCCAGUUGGCUUGGUGUUGGUGGAAGGUUAUUACUUAGGGACCGAGAGGUAGUGGGACCCAGAGACGGCAGAAGGGUGGGUGGAGUCUGAAUGGAGCCGUUUCCCAGGUGGAGGAAGAGAUCUUGCAGUUUCGAAAUUUCAAGGGGAAUUUUAUCAGGAAGAGCAAAUAAUCACACAAAAGGGGAAAAAUGGACAAAACUCAGCAUUUGCCUUUCUUACCUCUCCUGAGCUGGUCUCCAUCUGAGUUCCAAAACAAACUCCAUUAGAUGAUUAACUUUUUUUUUUCUCUCUCUCUCUUUUUUUUUUUUUUUUUGACAGAGUCUCACUCUAUCGUCCAGGCUGGAGUGCGGUGGUGCAAUUUCAGCUCACCCUUUUCUAGUUCAAGUGAUUCUUGUGCCUCAGCCUCCCAAGUAGCUGGGACUACAGGUGCGCACCACCACGCCCAGCUAAUUUUUAUAUUUUUAGUGGAGACGGGGUUUCGCCAUGUUGGCCAGGCUGGUCUCGAACUCCUGACCUCAGGUGAUCUGCCUGCCUCGGCCUCCCAAAGUGCUGGGAUUAUAGGUGUGAGCCACCGUGCCUGGCCAUGAUGAUUGAGGCUUUAGCUGGGUGCAGUGGUGUAAGCUUGUGGUCCCAGCUACUUGGGAAGCCAAGAUGGUAGGGUUGCUUGAGGCCAGCCUGGGCAACGUAAUGAGACCCCAUCUCUACAAAAAAAAA
rnacentral:sRNA from 1 species